AUGAUUUAACCUGUCUAUAUAAUACAUAACUGUACUAUAACACACACAGGGGAGAAAACCUUCCACUGUUUAUGAUUUAACCUGUCUAUAUAAUACAUAACUGUACUAUAACACACACAGGG